GAUGAACGCUGGCGGCGUGCCUAACACAUGCAAGUCGAGCGGAGAUUAAAAAGCUUGCUUUUUAAUCUUAGCGGCGGACGGGUGAGUAACGCGUGGGUAACCUGCCCUAUACACACGGAUAACAUAUCGAAAGAUAUGCUAAUACGAGAUAACACAUUUUUAAGGCAUCUUAGAAAUGUCAAAGCGUUAGCGGUAUAGGAUGGACCCGCGUCCCAUUAGCUAGUUGGUGAGGUAAAAGCUUACCAAGGCGACGAUGGGUAGCCGACCUGAGAGGGUGAUCGGCCACACUGGAACUGAGACACGGUCCAGACUCCUACGGAGGCAGCAGUGGGGAAUAUUGCACAAUGGGGGAAACCCUGAUGCAGCAACGCCGCGUGAGCGAUGAAGGCCUUCGGGUCGUAAAGCUCUGUCCUAAGGGAGAUAAUGACGGUACCUUAGGAGGAAGCCCCGG
rnacentral:rRNA from 1 species